rnacentral:lncRNA from 1 species
GUCCGGCAGGGCGGCGCGCGCGCGGUCGGGCGCGGUUGGACUGGGCCGGUUCGGCCCAAAAUGGCCGGGCCGGUCCAUUUGCUCCCUUUUUUUUUUCUUUUACCCUUUUCUUUUUCUGUUUUUCUCAUUUCUUUGAUACCUUUUGAGUCUGAACAACAAAUUGGUCCAAAUAAAUUCCAGAAAAUUUGUAAAAUCAUGUUCUACCAAGAUACAACUUUUGGAAGUAGUUUCUCUUCAAAAUAAAAUAUGUAAAAAAUACAUUUGCCCUAUAGAUGCUUUAGGGACAUAUAACUAUUUAAAUAAAAUACUUUUUCAACUCCAAAUAAUUAUCCAAAAAUUAUGGGAUAGCUCAUAUAUGCAAUAAACCCCUUUUAUACUUGAACCUUAAUGGUUUGAAGAUCCAAAGUUCAAAUGGGUGUAAAUCCUAGGGUUUAAAAUGAAACAAAAAUCUUUCCAAAGCCCUUUUGAGAUUCAAAUUUGAAUUCAAAUAUGCAAUUGUGGCAUGAUGCUUAUGAAUGCAAUGCUCAUGUAAAGGUUUGAAAUUUUGGGAUGUUACAUUCCAACUUCUUAAAUAAAACGAAUG